GAUGAAGAACGUAGCGAAAUGCGAUAAGUAAUGUGAAUUGCAGAAUUCAGUGAAUCAUUGAAUCUUUGAACGCACCUUGCGCUCCUUGGUAUUCCGAGGAGCAUGCCUGUUUGAGUGUCAUUAAAUUCUCAACUUCAUUAUCUUGAUGAAGCUUGGAUGUGGGGGUUGUGCAGAAUGUCUAAUAGUAGUCUGCUCCUCUUAAAUGAAUUAGCAAGUUCAAACUGAGCUCUAUCUCUGGUGUGAUAACUAUCUACACCAUAGAAUAGGCUUAGACUUGCUUCUAACUGUCUGCAAAGACAAUACUUUGACAAUUUGACCUCAAAUCAGGUAGGACUACCCGCUGAACUUAAGCAUAUCAAUAAGCGGAGGA
rnacentral:misc_RNA from 1 species